GAAACCGUCGUUAAACGAGAACGAAACGUUUAGUGCGAAUUAAAAUUGUAAAUAUUACGAAUCAAAUUGAAUGUUCCAAAUUAGAAAAGCGUGUAACUAAAAGCUUUGUAGCUCUCCGCUCAAGGAGCUGCUACCAGAGGGUGUGUAUGUCCGUCUGUGGGACUCUACAGGCGUAUCGGCGGAUCGCUGCUUGUGACAGCUGCUGUCAACGCGUAUCUGUCGGCGUCGCUGUUCACGUUUAGUAGUUGCGCUAUUCGCUGCCUCGCAAUCAACUUUUUAGACGCUGAGUUUGAAAUGUCAACUGUGG